rnacentral:lncRNA from 1 species
GAAGACACUACUGUUGCACUAUGGGAAUUGUAUCCUCCUUAGAUUGAGAAUACGGCGCUGCCAGCUUGCCCUAGCAAAAUGCAUAGAAGAGAUGCUCUAUUUUUCAGCACUCGGGAAAGUAUAUAUAUAUAUUUAUAUACUGUAUAUAUUUAUGUAUUCUCAGGGACCAAUUCUUAGUAGAUGGGAUGCCUCAUUCAAGCCUAUCAAUCUGGGGAGUUACUAAGAAAUGUUCGGUUCCUUUGUUGGAAAGAAAUAUAUAUUUCCACAUUUUCUGCAAUUAGACAUUGUGCUCCUGAAUUUUUCACAAGUUACUGGAAUCUUCAUUUUGUUUCCUUAGAUUAUGCCUAGAAAGUGCACAUAUCUUAAUGGCACAUUUGAUAAAUUGCAGCAUUCGGCACCAUAUCGAAG